CCUACGGGGGGCAGCAGUGAGGAAUAUUGGUCAAUGGACGAGAGUCUGAACCAGCCAAGUAGCGUGAAGGAUGACUGCCCUAUGGGUUGUAAACUUCUUUUAUAUGGGAAUAAAAUGUUCCACGUGUGGGAUUUUGUAUGUACCAUAUGAAUAAGGAUCGGCUAACUCCGUGCCAGCAGCCGCGGUAAUACGGAGGAUCCGAGCGUUAUCCGGAUUUAUUGGGUUUAAAGGGAGCGUAGGUGGAUUGUUAAGUCAGUUGUGAAAGUUUGCGGCUGAACCGUAAAAUUGCAGUUGAAACUGGCAGUCUGGAGUACAGUAGAGGUGGGCGGAAUUCGUGGUGUAGCGGUGAAAUGCUUAGAUAUCACGAAGAACUCCGAUUGCGAAGGCAGCUCACUGGACUGCAACUGACACUGAGGCUCGAAAGUGUGGGUAUCAAACAGGAUUAGAUACCCCAGUAGUC
rnacentral:rRNA from 1 species